GGCCAGGAUAAUCUAUGAGAUGGAUUUGAAAGGUUGAAACACAAUGUGGUUGACUUAAUUAGGGUUGAUAGUUAAACCCUAGGUCAUUUUAAGUAUUUGGGUCAAAGGGAUGAAUUAUACGGUAACCAUACGCCAGUAGGUUCUAGAAGGUUGCUUUACAAUACUUUGACCUAUCCGAUCAUUGGGUCAUCAUUGCUAGAUGGUUACAUCGAUUAGUAUAGAAAGUUAUUUCUAUACUACCAGCUUAGGUUCGAACCUAUG
rnacentral:lncRNA from 1 species